rnacentral:rRNA from 1 species
UACGAAGGGGGCUAGCGUUACUCGGAAUUACUGGGCGUAAAGGGCGCGUAGGCGGCGCUCCAAGUUAGGCGUGAAAGUCCUGGGCUCAACCUGGGAACUGCGCUUGAUACUGGAGUGCUUGAGGAUGGAAGAGGGUUGUGGAAUUCCCAGUGUAGAGGUGAAAUUCGUAGAUAUCGGAAGGAACAUCAGUGGCGAAAGCGGCUUCCUGGACCAGCACCGACGUUCAGGCACGAAAGCGUGGGGAGCAAACAGG